CCUACGGGAGGCUGCAGUGGGGAAUAUUGGACAAUGGGGGGAACCCUGAUCCAGCCAUGCCGCGUGUGUGAAGAAGGCCCUCGGGUUGUAAAGCACUUUCAGUGAGGAAGAACGCCUGGUGGUUAAUACCCAUCAGGAAAGACAUCACUCACAGAAGAAGCACCGGCUAACUCCGUGCCAGCAGCCGCGGUAAUACGGAGGGUGCGAGCGUUAAUCGGAAUUACUGGGCGUAAAGCGCGCGUAGGUGGCUUGAUAAGCCGGUUGUGAAAGCCCCGGGCUCAACCUGGGAACGGCAUCCGGAACUGUCAAGCUAGAGUGCAGGAGAGGAGGUAGAAUUCUCGGUGUAGCGGUGAAAUGCGUAGAGAUCGGGAGGAAUACCAGUGGCGAAGGCGGCCUUCUGGACUGACACUGACACUGAGGUGCGAAAGCGUGGGUAGCAAACAGGAUUAGAUACCCUGGUAGUC
rnacentral:rRNA from 1 species